AUUAUAUUUUCUAUCCAACUGCGUUUUUCCAUUGAUACACAAUUACUGAGAAAAAUAUGGCAGAUCAGUGAGUAACCGUGAUUUCUUGGUUUUUUAAUAACUGGAGCAUGAAGAUUUGAAAAUUGCAACAGGGUUAAGAAGGGGCAGCAAGUAUAAUAAAUAUAAAUAUCAAAGUAACCAGACCUGCGAUUCGUUUCAAUCUCUAAGAACCCGAAGAACGUAGGUGAUUGUGCUAAUAACUCGUUCGACAAUUUCGUUCGAAUAAACAGUUUCUGCAAGACAUAAAUAAAAAGGUACGAGUAUUAUAUUCCUCGACUAUGGUGAGAUAGCCGAGUGAUAAUAAAUGGGUUUAAAAGUAGCUGCCUAAUUACUUCCUCGGACACCGCACGAACUCGCGAUGCAACCGUUGAUAUCGCUACGUACUUUUUCCUUUUUCCUGAGCCCCGCGCCGGCUACCGGUUUUACAGCGACCGUUGAAUUUAACUGUCUAUUAAUUAAUGCGGGCCGAUUAAUUUCCGUCACGGCGUAAAAACGCAGUUCCAUGGAAAAUUAUGAUGGUGCAAGGUCUCGCCUCCGCGCCAUUUCCCUACGAUUCGUAUGUCAUCGAACCAUCGUUCUACAGAUCCAUGUGAAAAAUACCGACAUGUUGCGGGUAUCUCGUUUGGGGAAACUAGAAAAUGAGAGUGAAAUAAAAUUGUUUACAAGCUGAGAAAUAAGCCUCCAAGGGACGUGUUUGCACAUGAACGUUGUCAUCGUUUUGAUGUCUGCAAUUCACCCUGUACAUAAAUAUCCAUCAAAUAUUUUUCCACAUC